rnacentral:rRNA from 1 species
CGAACGCUGGCGGCGUGCUUAACACAUGCAAGUCGAACGGAAAGGCCCUGCUUUUGUGGGGGUGCUCGAGUGGCGAACGGGUGAGUAACACGUGAGUAACCUGCCCUUGACUUUGGGAUAACUUCAGGAAACUGGGGCUAAUACCGGAUAGGAGCUCCUGCUGCAUGGUGGGGGUUGGAAAGUUUCGGCGGUUGGGGAUGGACUCGCGGCUUAUCAGCUUGUUGGUGGGGUAGUGGCUUACCAAGGCUUUGACGGGUAGCCGGCCUGAGAGGGUGACCGGCCACAUUGGGACUGAGAUACGGCCCAGACUCCUACGGGAGGCAGCAGUGGGAAUAUUGCACAAUGGGCGGAAGCCUGAUGCAGCAACGCCGCGUGCGGGAUGACGGCCUUCGGGUUGUAAACCGCUUUUCGCCUGUGACGAAGCGUGAGUGACGGUAAUGGGUAAAGAAGCACCGGCUAACUACGUGCCAGCAGCCGCGGUGAUACGUAGGGUGCGAGCGUUGUCCGGAUUUAUUGGGCGUAAAGGGCUCGUAGGUGGUUGAUCGCGUCGGAAGUGUAAUCUUGGGGCUUAACCCUGAGCGUGCUUUCGAUACGGGUUGACUUGAGGAAGGUAGGGGAGAAUGGAAUUCCUGGUGGAGCGGUGGAAUGCGCAGAUAUCAGGAGGAACACCAGUGGCGAAGGCGGUUCUCUGGGCCUUUCCUGACGCUGAGGRGCGAAAAGCGUGGGGAGCGARCAGGCUUAGAUACCCUGGUAGUCCACGCUGUAAAACGGUGGGUACUAGGUGUGGGGUCCAUUCCACGGGUUCCGCGCCGUAGCUAACGCUUUAAGUACCCCGCCUGGGGUAGUUACGGUCCGUCUAAGGUCUUAAACU